rnacentral:lncRNA from 1 species
GCCAUCACCAUCACCAUCACCAUCAUCGCCAUCACCAUCACCAUCACCAUCAUCGCCAUCACCAUCACCAUCAUCGCCAUCACCAUCACCAUCAUCGCCAUCACCAUCACCAUCAUUGCCAUCACCAUCACCAUCAUUGCCAUCAUCACCAUCAUCAUCAUCACCAUCAUUAUCAUCAUCAUCACCAUCACCAUCAUCAUCAUCAUCAUUGCUACCAGAUCAGCUCCAGGACCCAUCCCACAUGCAUCCUUCUGCCUUUUAAUGAUCUCUAUGCAUGCUGGGAAGACAUCUACUGCAGCUGUUUUCAAGGUUCGGGUGUUGCACCUGUAGGAAUAAGAAGAUACCAGAGCCCAGGGAAGCAGAGAAGAGAAAUACAGCCAAAACAAGGUGUCUUCUGCUAAGAGCUCAUUGGAGAGCUCUGAGAGAGCCAGCUGUAAUGAGAGCAUGGGCUAAUUAAAUAAAUAUUGGAAGACUGGGGUUCA